CCUACGGGAGGCAGCAGUAGGGAAUAUUGCUCAAUGGGGGAAACCCUGAAGCAGCAACGCCGCGUGGAGGAUGACGGUUUUCGGAUUGUAAACUCCUUUUGUGAGAGGAGAAAAUGACGGUAUCUAACGAAUAAGCACCGGCAAACUCCGUGCAAGCAGCCGCGGCCAUCGGGAGGGUGCAAGCGUUAAUCGGAAUCACUGGGGGUAAAGGGCGCGUAGGCGGGAUUGCAAGGCAGAUGUGAAAUCCUCUGGCUUAACCAUAGAACUGCAUUUGAAACUGUUAUUCUAGAGUAUGGGAGAGGUAGGCGGAAUUCGUGGUGUAGGGGUAAAAUGCGUAGAGAUCAAGAGGAAUACUCAUUGCGAAGGCGACCUGCUAGAACAUAACUGACGCUGAUGCGCGAAAGCGUGGGGAGCAAACAGGAUUAGAUACCCUUGUAGUC
rnacentral:rRNA from 1 species